AUGGAGGAACUCGACUCUGAAGACUUCUCCACACCUCGGAGGAGGACGAAGACUACGUGCCGUCGGAUGGAGAGUAGAGUGAAGAUGAUGUAAAUGAAUUAGUGAAGGAAGAUGAAGUGGAUGGUGAAGAGCAGACACAGAAAACCAAAGGGAAAAAAAGAAAGGCUCAGAGCAUUCCGGCCAGGAAGAGAAAACAAGGUGGCCUCUCAUUAGAAGCGGAGGAGGAAGAUGCCAGCGAGGAGUCCGAGGGGAGUAGCAGUGAGCAGGAAGAUGAAGCCUCCGAGCAGGAGGAAGGCAUGGGGCCAGAGGAUGCGAGGAAGAAGAAGGAGGAGGAGUUGUGGGCCAGCUUCCUCAACGAUGUAGGACCAAAACCCAAAGUGCCCCCAAGUACACAUGUUAACAGAGGAGAGAAGACUGAAGAAACAAGUUCAAGUAAAUUGUUGGUCAGAGCAGAAGAGCUUGAGAAACCGAAAGAAGCUGAAAAAGUUAAAAUCACUAAGGUGUUUGAUUUUGCUGGUGAAGAAGUCAGGGUGACUAAGGAAGUGGAUGCUACCUCUAAAGAAGCCAAAUCUUUCUUCAAGCAGAACGAGAAAGAAAAGCCCCUGGCUCCUGUCGCUGCAUCUCUGCCGGCACUCCCUGCUGGGUCUGGGUUAAAAAGAUCAAGUGGCAUGAGCAGCCUUUUGGGGAAAAUUGGGGCCAAGAAGCAGAAGAUGAGCACCCUAGAGAAGUCCAAAUUGGACUGGGAGAGCUUCAAGGAGGAAGAGGGCAUUGGUGAAGAACUAGCCAUCCAUAAUCGAGGGAAGGAGGGGUACACUGAACGGAAGGCUUUUCUAGACCGAGUGGACCACAGGCAGUUUGAAAUCGAGCGAGAUCUCAGGCUGAGCAAAAUGAAACCCUGAUGUCAUGGCGGGAAAACAGUAGCAGCUUAAUCCUGUUGACAAUGUGAGCUUCUGGUGCGUCUGUGAAAUAUUUCUGGUGU